GAACGGGUGAGUAACACGUGGGAAACCUACCUCUUAGCAGGGGAUAACAUUUGGAAACAGAUGCUAAUACCGUAUAACAAUGACAACCGCAUGGUUGUUAUUUAAAAGAUGGUUCUGCUAUCACUAAGAGAUGGUCCCGCGGUGCAUUAGCUAGUUGGUAAGGUAAUGGCUUACCAAGGCAAUGAUGCAUAGCCGAGUUGAGAGACUGAUCGGCCACAAUGGGACUGAGACACGGCCCAUACUCCUACGGGAGGCAGCAGUAGGGAAUCUUCCACAAUGGGCGAAAGCCUGAUGGAGCAACGCCGCGUGUGUGAUGAAGGGUUUCGGCUCGUAAAACACUGUUGUAAGAGAAGAAUGACAUUGAGAGUAACUGUUCAAUGUGUGACGGUAUCUUACCAGAAAGGAACGGCUAAAUACGUGCCAGCAGCCGCGGUAAUACGUAUGUUCCAAGCGUUAUCCGGAUUUAUUGGGCGUAAAGCGAGCGCAGACGGUUAUUUAAGUCUGAAGUGAAAGCCCUCAGCUCAACUGAGGAAUUGCUUUGGAAACUGGAUGACUUGAGUGCAGUAGAGGAAAGUGGAACUCCAUGUGUAGCGGUGAAAUGCGUAGAUAUAUGGAAGAACACCAGUGGCGAAGGCGGCUUUCUGGACUGUAACUGACGUUGAGGCUCGAAAGUGUGGGUAGCAAACAGGAUUAGAUACCCUGGUAGUCCACACCGUAAACGAUGAGUGCUAGGUGUUUGAGGGUUUCCGCCCUUAAGUG
rnacentral:rRNA from 1 species